rnacentral:rRNA from 1 species
GACGAACGCUGGCGGCGUGCUUAACACAUGCAAGUCGAACGGAAAGGCCCUGCUCUUGUGGGGAGCUCGAGUGGCGAACGGGUGAGUAUCACGUGAGUAACCUGCCCUUGACUUUGGGAUAACAUCAUGAAACUGGAACUAAUACCGCACAGGAGCACCUGCAACAUGGGGGGGGUUGGAAAGUUUCGCAGGUUGAGGAUGCACUCGAGGCUUAUCAGCUUGUUGGUGGGGUAGUGGGUUACCAAGGCAUCGACGGGUAGCCGGCCUGAGAGGGUGACCGGCCACAUUGGGACUGAGAUGCGGCCCAGACUCCUACGGGAGGCAGCAGUGAGGAAUAGUGCACAAUGGGCGGAAGCCGGAUGCAGCAACGCCGCGUGCGGGAUGACGGCCUUCGGGGUGUAAACCGCUUUCGCCUGUGACGAAGCGUGAGUGACGGUAAUGGGUAAAGAAGCACCGGCUAACUACGUG